rnacentral:lncRNA from 1 species
AAGGGAAACAUAUUUAGGGCAUGUCUCUAAAAACUGUAUGGGGAAACCAAAACCAAAAUUUUUAUUUCACUCCUUAAAUAGAGGAGGAAUGCAUAAUUAGCACUUAAACUUAUUUACAAGCUGUCUUUAAAGGUAGAACUAGAAUCUCCGUAAAAACAAAGAUGUGUGAUACAAACAUCAUUGAGUCAGUAAUCCGAGGAUCUGAAAUCAAGACCUAAUAUCAGGAUGACCAAUCAUCUCGGGACUGAGGGGUUUCCUGGCAUGUGGGGCUUUUAGUGCUAAAGUUAGGACAGUCCUGGGUGUCCUAAUUUUCUUCAUGUUAUUGAGGAACUGGGGAGAAUCAUUGCUGUGGUUACUUCCAGCCUGAAUGGUUUAUGAUUCUACACAGCAGAGCUGGCUGUUUGCCCCAGAAGCAUCCAAGUGCACCAUGAGGAUGGAUGAUGUCUGCUGUCACCCAUUCUUGCCCUUGAAGGGGAGGGGAUGUCUUCAACAACAUGGAGACACUGAAGUUAUGCUUUGGGAAGUGACCAAUAUAAGCAAAGGAGUUUUGUUUGCCUUAUCUAGGUGCUGUACACUGAAGAAUUUAAGCCUCUGGCUUUGUUUUCUUGGGCUAGAAACAGGGGAAGAUCUUGCUGCCUUGAUCACUGGGGCAGCAAAGAUACUCUGAGGAUAGGGCAGAGAGCACAAAAGGAAAAAGAACUUUCCACUGUAAAUUCCUGGUCAAUUCUGUACGGUCUGAGGGGCAACCUCCAUAGCAACAAUAAAUGAAUGUUUGAAC